AGCAGCCGCGGUAAUUCCAGCUCCAAUAGCGUAUAUUAAAGUUGUUGCGGUUAAAAAGCUCGUAGUUGAAUUUCGGGAUCAAUAUUUCGGUCAUGCCGUUGGUAUGCACUGUUAUCAUUGAUUUCUCACCUUCUAAAGAAACGUAAUGCCAUUAAUUUGGUGUUACGGGGAAUUAGGACUGUUACCUUGAAAAAAUUAGAGUGUUUAAAGCAGGCUCACGCUUGAAUACAUUAGCAUGGAAUAAUGAAAUAGGACAUCCGAUUCUAUUUUGUUGGUUUCUAGGAUCGAUGUAAUGAUUAAUAGGGAUAGUUGGGGGCAUUAGUAUUCAAUUGUCAGAGGUGAAAUUCUUGGAUUUAU
rnacentral:rRNA from 1 species